rnacentral:rRNA from 1 species
AUUGAACGCUGGCGGCAUGCCUUACACAUGCAAGUCGAACGGCAGCACGGGAGCAAUCCUGGUGGCGAGUGGCGAACGGGUGAGUAAAGUAUCGGAACGUGCCCAGUCGUGGGGGAUAACGUAGCGAAAGUUACGCUAAUACCGCAUACGAUCUAUGGAUGAAAGCGGGGGAUCGCAAGACCUCGCGCGAUUGGAGCGGCCGAUAUCAGAUUAGGUAGUUGGUGGGGUAAAGGCUCACCAAGCCGACGAUCUGUAGCUGGUCUGAGAGGACGACCAGCCACACUGGGACUGAGACACGGCCCAGACUCCUACGGGAGGCAGCAGUGGGGAAUUUUGGACAAUGGGCGCAAGCCUGAUCCAGCCAUGCCGCGUGCAGGAUGAAGGCCUUCGGGUUGUAAACUGCUUUUGUACGGAACGAAAAGGUUUGACUUAAUACGUUGGACUCAUGACGGUACCGUAAGAAUAAGCACCGGCUAACUACGUGCCAGCAGCCGCCGUAAUAC